AGAGUUUGAUCAUGGCUCAGGAUGAACGCUAGCUACAGGCUUAACACAUGCAAGUCGAGGGGAAACGACAUCGAAAGCUUGCUUUUGAUGGGCGUCGACCGGCGCACGGGUGAGUAACGCGUAUCCAACCUGCCCACCACUUGGGGAUAACCUUGCGAAAGUAAGACUAAUACCCAAUAACGUCUCUAGAAGACAUCUGAAAGAGAUUAAAGAUUUAUCGGUGAUGGAUGGGGAUGCGUCUGAUUAGCUUGUUGGCGGGGUAACGGCCGACCAAGGCGACGAUCAGUAGGGGUUCGUGAGAGGAAGGUCCCCCACAUUGGAACUGAGACACGGUCCAAACUCCUACGGGAGGCA
rnacentral:rRNA from 1 species